rnacentral:rRNA from 1 species
AAGUCCCGUAACGAGCGCAACCCUUGUCCUUACUUGCCAGCACUUCGGGUGGGAACUGUAAGGAGACUGCCGGUGACAAACCGGAGGAAGGUGGGGACGACGUCAAGUCAUCAUGGCCCUUACGAGUAGGGCUACACACGUGCUACAAUGGCCGGUACAGACGGUUGCGAAGCAGCAAUGUGGAGCUAAUCUGAGAAAACCGGUCGUAGUCCGGAUUGGGGUCUGCAACUCGACCCCAUGAAGUCGGAAUCGCUAGUAAUCGUGAAUCAGAAUGUCACGGUGAAUACGUUCCCGGGCCUU